rnacentral:lncRNA from 1 species
UUUUUUUUUACAAAUAGGUCACUUAUUCAGGGACGGAGGGAGUAUCAUAAUUGAGAAAACGAGCACAAUAAUUCCCACUACCCUUUUUUGUGCAUUCAUCAUGAGACCAACAUAACUUAGGUUCCUCAACCUUCCUCUGAAAAUUCCCACUUACCAAAUUGGGAUUUUCGCAUGUACCCACAUAACAACCGUACACAUAAUCAUGGGUUACGCAUUUACAACCGCUAGCACAGAGUCCUAAAAAGGUACCGCAAUCACCUCUACAUUCUUUUGCUUCUACUUUCUUCAUCGGAAACAUUACUAAUGCAGCAAGCAAGAGGACAGCAAAAGAAGCUAGCUUAACAUUAGACAUUGGUUGAUCAAAUGAAAGAACCGGAUACAAUAUAUAUUUUGUUUGUAAAUUAUGAACUCAACUUUGUAUUGCAUUUCUUCAUUUCUUGCAUGCAUGCAAUUUAUAAACAAAGUAAUGGAUCCUGA